rnacentral:lncRNA from 1 species
AGGCUGCAACUAUAUUAGGCAAGUAUUUGACCCGGUUGUGCAUGGUCCUUUUGGGUUGCCUUCACCAUAGCAACUUGAUGGGAUGAUUUAAUAAGAGAGAGUAAAUAUUAUUAGUAUAUUAUGAGAAUAAUAUAAAGAAUAAUAUAUUGUUAUUUGAUUAAUAUAAGUCAUAGAAUUAAUUGGAAUUAAUUUGGUGACUUAAAGAGGUUAAUUAAAUAAAGGGGUAUAAACUGUCAAUUGUUUGAUAGUUAAGCUUUAGACUAUAAAUCCUUAUAGAUAUACAAGGGAUGAAUUCUAGAAGCUAAAGGAUAGCUAAAUUCGUCCAUGACUUAUCUAAGGAAAGGAUUUGGAUAGCCUUAAGAGAAGAUUAUCCAAUUAGGGUUUAGAUUGUAACCCUUAAGGAGUCUACAAGUAUAAAUAGAUCCCAUGGGCAAGGGAAAUCGAAACCUCUCCUAAAGUAAGAGAACCCUGGCCGAUUUCCUCCCCUCUCCUCUCUCCUAAAUCAUCCUUCUUUCUAUUGGUGUUUGUAAGCCAUUAGAGGAGUGACAUUUGUGACUCUAGAAGCUCCAAGACCACAAGAUCAACAAGGAACUCAAAGGUAUGGUUCUAGAUCUGUUUCAAUGUUGUUAUUUAACCUAAUUAGUCAUUAGAAGUCUUGGAUUCAAAGCAUGUUUAAUUAGAAAGCCUAGAUCCAAGCAUUAGGGUUUUGCAUGCGCACAUAGGAAAGUUCUUAUGGCUAAAACCCAUCAGUGGUAUCAGAGCCUAGCUUGGUUUUCUGUAAAUUGUUGCUUGAUUAACUGAAACAAACCUGCAAAAUUCGAAUUUUUGGUUUCUGAGUCAUGGACUCGGCGAGUCUCAAAGUGGACUCGGCGAGUAGGCCUGACUCGGCGAGUCCAUUUGUGCACUCGGCGAGUCCAGGCGUCAGGAAUGGCCAGAUUCGGGAUUUCUUUGUGUUUAUCUUAUCUUAACUUACCAUAAACUAAUUAGAUCAACAUUAAUUCGUUUUUCUGAUAAAUAUAACUAUUAUCUUGAUCUAGUUAAAGGUAAUUAUCAACUAAUUAAAUAUUUAAUUUCCUUAUAUGAUAAUUAAUUAAUUAUUUUGAUUAUUUUGGUAAUUAUCUUUAAAAGAAAUCUUGAAUAAAUCAAAUAUAGAUAAUUAGGAUAUUAAUUGUUAAUUGGAAUUAUUUGUUAUUUGAUCCUCCAUGUUUUAAAUGUUUAAAACCUACCCUCAUGUUUUGAAAUUUACUUUUGUGAUUAAAAGUUUUAAUUUAGACAACUUAAAUUUCAAACCCUAGAUUUUAAAAGUUUUAAAAUACAACCCUAUACUAAUAUGAUAUUACUAGAAUAAUAUAUAUAUGUAUAACUAAAUGCUAGUCUUACCGUUAGUAGGCCUCAUUCACGAAGCCGAUCUAUAAGGUGGGUAUAAGGUUGCGGCCUAUAAAAUGGCGCUUAAUGGGUGUACACUCACACCCACCGCUUGCUUGAUUGGUGGAGGGUCGUUAGCCGAACGGGUAGGAUAGGGCAACCUCAUCCUCUCAUUAAAAGUAUAAUAAGAAAUAUAAAGUAACUACACAUUUUUUUAAAAUUUCCCAAUCCUAGUUACUUUAGGAAAAGUGAAUUGAUGCAAUCCCAUGAAAUUACACUUUGCACCUUGCUAAGAUGUUAGUGGAGCGUGUGUGGUUUACCGGCACACUAAUUGGUUCUAAGCGAAGGUGGCAAAGGGUGAUUCAUUGUUUAUCAUAGUUCGAUGGAGCGUGUGUGGUUUACCGGCACAUCGAAUAGGUGAUUGUUACAAUGAAGGCACCAUGUGAAUUUGCAUGGUAAUUCACACCCGCUUUGUGAUCCUCGGCAUCCCAGUCACAAACAAGAGGGGCAUAUCGAGAUUUAAACAUGCCAUUGAAUAGUUUCAAUGAAUCUCAUCCGAACCUAGGAAUUCUCAAAAACACUUAGGACUAAUAGUUUAAGUUUUGUGAUGGAGAAUUAGUGAAUCGUCAUUCACUUACCUUCAAUUUAUUUGCAUGUUAGAUUACGGCAUCCCUUUUCUAGUAUGUAAAUGUUAUUGUUGGAUCCUAGCCCUAAUUUUCUUAUUGGGUGAUAAUUAGGGAUUCUUAUUCUAAUCUAUCUUUGUCCUUUUCUAAUUGUAGAUGUCGAACGCAAACAACGCUGCUGCUAGUUCUUUCACGUUGAUGAGCCUUUGCCAAAAGGUCACCUUCGAUGGAACGAACUUUAGCGAAUGGAUAAGAUACAUUCGCACCAUUGCUCGCUAUGAGGAUAAGGAGUAUGUCCUCGAUGAGAAGCUCGAGAAAAUCAACCCCGAAAUUGCUACUCCCGCCGAAAUCACCGCCUUUGAAACUCAUGAGCGAGAUGCAACGAAGGUACAUUGCAUCAUGAUCGCCACCAUGAACUCCGAAUUCCAAAAGUCCUACGAGGACAUGUACCCGUACGAGAUGCAUCAAGACUUAUUGGAGAGGUACCACCAAAACGCGAGACAAGAGAGGUACGAGAUUUUCACUAACAUGAUUUCCGCGAAGAUGGGUCAUGGAGAAUCUCUUACCGUGCACUUGCAAAAGAUGCAAAGGUAUGUUGACCGCCUCCGCAAGUUAAAUGUUGACUUCGGUGAAGACUUGGCGAUCGACAUGGUGCUUCACUCUUUGCCUCCGAUGUACAACCAAUUUAGGAUGACCUACCACAUGAACAAAGAAGAGGUCACCCUAAGCAAGCUCCAAGGUCUCUUGAGGGUUGCUGAGAGCAACUUCAAAGACAAGUCUGUUGCACCUACUCCCAAUCCGCCCGCUGCUCCUGUCUUGGCUAUUGGACAAGGGAAGGGAAAGAAGAGGAAAGCUUCAUCGAAGAACUAUCGCAAGGUGAAAGCCCGAGAUGGUGCCUCUUCUAGUGGGACCAAAGUUGAUCCCGCCAAGCCCUGCUCUAACCCGAAGGAGGCAGAGUGCCACCACUGCCACAAGAUAGGACAUUGGAAGAGAAGCUGCCCGGAUUACCUGCAAGCAAUCAAAGAAGGAAAGAUCAAGCCAUCUUUCGCAGGUAUAUAUACAAUCAAAUCUAACGAUUCUAAUCAUGCUAUUUCUUGGGUUCUUGAUACCGGUUGUGGUUAUCACAUUUGUUCUAAUGUGCAGGGACUAAGAAGAAGUAGGGAUGUGGAGCAAGGAAGGAUCAAUCUAAUCAUGGGGAACAGAAGAUCGUCGCCUGUGACCAAGAUUGGAGUGUAUUCCUUAGUGCUUAGGAAUAGUUUAGUUUUAGAUUUGAACAAUUGUUGCUAUUCGCCAGAAAUGGCAAGAAACAUCAUUUCAUUUCAUGGUUUAUAUAGACAAGGAUUUAGAUUUUCUUUUAAUAAUGAGAAUGGUUCUAUUUUGGCUUAUCUAAAUGGUGUCUUUUACUUUGAAGCUAUACCAUGUAAUGGAAUAUAUGAAACCGUUAUGAUUGUUGAUAACUUAGGAAAUGAUGUUUUGAAUAUUGAUUCUUCCACUAGUAUGGAUAAAGCAUCCUUGUGGCAUUGUCGUCUUGGACAUGUCAACAAGAAACGCAUAGCCCAACUCCAAAAGGAUGGAGUGUUGGAGUCAUUCGACCUUAGGGAAGAUGACACAUGCGAGUCUUGUUUGCUUGGAAAGAUGACUAAGUCACCCUUCACGAGUACAUGUGAAAGGGGCGAGGGUCUAUUGGACCUAAUACAUACCGAUGUAUGUGGACCGUUUAGAUCAACCACGAAGGAUGGGAACCGCUUCUAUGUGACUUUUACCGAUGACUAUAGUAGAUAUGGGUAUAUCUACUUAAUCAAGCAAAAGUCAGACACCUUUGAAAAGUUCAAAGAGUUCAAGAAUGAAGUGGAGAAUCAAUUGGGCAGGAAAAUCAAGAUGCUUCGAUCCGAUCGAGGAGGAGAGUACCUAAGUCUUGAAUUCCACGAUUAUCUCAAGGAGUGUGGAAUAGUUUCGCAAUUGACGCCUCCUAGGACACCGCAGUUGAAUGGUGUGGCAGAAAGGCGUAAUCGAACCUUAUUGGAUAUGGUUCGCUCUAUGAUGAGUCGUGCUUCACUACCUAUCUCUUUUUGGGGGUAUGCCUUAGAGACUGCCGCCCAUAUCCUUAACCGAGUCCCUACUAAGAAGGUUGCCAAAACACCUCACGAGAUGUGGACAGGGAAAGCUCCCUCGUUGGCACAUAUCAAGGUUUGGGGUUGCGAGGCUUUCGUAAGACGAGAUACUCACGACAAGCUUGAACCUCGAAGUGAGCGAUGUAUUUUCAUCGGCUACCCGCAGACAUCCUUUGGAUAUCUCUUCUAUAGACCGAAGGACAAUGUUGUCUUCGUUGCGAGGAGAGGAGUUUUCCGAGAGCGAGAACUCAUAAGCCAAGGAGACAGUGGGAGGCAAAUCGAGCUUGAAGAGAUUCAAGAGUCGAUAGAUGAAGGAACCUCUACCGCUGGCACUCAACCCGAGGAGGAAACUCCGGUUGAACCGAUUGACGAAUCCUUACCUCUUAGACGUUCCGAUAGAGUUAGAGUUCAACCCCAGUUUUAUGGUUUUCAUAUUACUACCGAAGGGGACACGUAUAUUAGUGAUGGUACACUAAUAAAUCUUGAUGAACCUAAUAGCUAUAAGGAAGCCAUGGCAGGCCCGGAGUCUGCAAAAUGGAAAGAGGCAAUGGAUAGCGAGAUCCAAUCCAUGUAUGAUAACCAAGUUUGGAAUUUGGUUGAUUAUGUGCCCGGACGUAAGACCGUUGGGUGCAAAUGGAUCUUCAAGAAGAAGACCGACGUGGAUGGAAACGUACACACAUAUAAAGCGCGAUUGGUUGCGAAGGGCUUUACUCAAACUCCCGGAGUUGACUAUGAUGAGACCUUCUCACCAGUUGCGAAGAUUAAAUCUAUUAGAGUGAUGCUAGCAAUUGCCGCAUUUCAUGAUUAUGAGAUUUGGCAAAUGGAUGUCAAGACCGCUUUCCUUAACGGAAAGUUGGCUGAGGAUGUUUACAUGGCUCAGCCAGAGGGGUUUGUGGAUCCGAAGCAUCCGAAUAGAGUGUGUAAGCUUGAGAAGUCCAUUUAUGGACUUAAGCAAGCGUCUCGCAGAUGGAAUCUUUGCUUCGAUGAGAAAGUCAAAGAGUUUGGAUUUGUACGAAGCGAAGACGAAUCUUGUGUAUAUGUCAAAGCCAGUGGGAGUAUAGUAAGCUUCCUCGUUCUAUAUGUCGAUGACAUAUUACUCAUAGGAAACGACAUCCCGACUCUGCAGGAGGUUAAGUCCUGGCUCGGGAAGUGCUUCGCUAUGAAGGACCUCGGAGAGGCUUCUUACAUUUUGGGAAUAAGGAUAGUAAGAGAAAGAAGUAAGAGACUAAUUGGACUUAGUCAGAAUACUUACUUAGAGAAGGUACUAAAACGUUUUAGUAUGGAAAACUCAAAGAAGGGAGAACUACCGAUACAAAGUAAUGCCAAAUUGAGUAAGACUCAAAGUCCGAGUACCGAAGCUGAGAUAGCAGAAAUGAGCCGAGUACCAUACGCUUCCGCAGUUGGCUCAAUCAUGUACGCUAUGACUUGUACUCGCCCUGAUGUAGCCUUCGCUUUGAGCAUGGUUAGCAGAUAUCAAGGGAAUCCUGGCAGAGCACAUUGGAUUGCGGUGAAGAAUAUCCUUAAGUACCUUCGGAGGACGAAGGAAUGGUUCUUAGUCCUCGGAGGGAGUGAUGACUUGAAGGUGCGAGGGUAUAGUGACGCCAGUUUUCAGACCGACAGGGACAACUACCGUUCGCAGUCGGGCUGGGUCUUUACCCUAAAUGGAGGAGCAGUGACAUGGAAGAGUUCCAAGCAGGAAACCGUAGCUGAUUCAACGUGCGAAUCAGAGUACAUUGCAGCGAGCGAAGCGUCGAAGGAGGCAAUAUGGCUAAAGAACUUCAUCGGUGAUCUUGGAGUUGUACCUGCCAUAAAGGAGCCCAUGGAGAUUUUCUGUGAUAACGAAGGAGCGGUUGCCUUGACCAAGGAACCGAGGGAUCAUGGUAGAUCAAGACAUAUCGACAGAAAGUAUCACUUCAUUAGACAUCGUGUAGAAGAAGGACAACUCGUAGUGAAGAGGAUAUCAUCAGAAGAUAACCCAGCAGAUCCGCUUACGAAGGGACUGAGUAGGGUUAAGCACUUGCAGCAUGCUAGGAGUAUUGGGCUGAAGGAUGAUAUUAGCAUAGAUUAGAUAGUAUUAGAAACGUGUAAUAGAUAAAUGUAAUUAACAUUUGAUGAUUAAAUAAAGGAGUUUUAUUUAUGAGUAAUGUUACUAUCUUAUGUUAAUUGUUUAACUAUUGUUUCACUUUGCAUGUUUUGACUUCCAGAAUAAUUGAGUUUAUUAGGAAUAAUCGAAUUGUUCAAAUUGUCCACAAUCGUUCAUAUGUUGGAAGUAGAUAUGAAUGAAGAUUGUCAUGAAUUGGUGUGUAGAUUGUCUAAAUGGUGUUAGACAUAGCAAAGGGUUGCUGCAACGUUCAUGAGUGCUUAUGAACUAGUUUUGAGCAUUGGAACAAACCCGCGCUUGCUGGAAUCACCUUAUGGAAUAUGAUAUAAAAGGGUGAUCGCAAGACGAUAAUAUCAUAUAGUCUUAAAACCUAGAUAUAUGGUUUGUUAUUUGUUAAUUGAUUGUACAUUGAUAAUGCGAAAACGCAUCAGUAACUCGGUGUUAUAAAACGCAUUGUUGUGUAUAGUUGGUUAAUGAAUAAGUAAAUGCAUAUAAGUCGAAGUUUAUCUGUAACUUUUAUCUAAGAAGGUAAAAGCGAUAUCUCGGCCGCUCGAUGAUUUGAUUUGACUUAUGUGCCGGGCCCGGUCAGAACUAAAUUGAUGUGUUCGAUUAAGUUCUAUGUCAAAUAAAUCAGAGAUCGAGAAACCUAAAUGCUUGACUAACCAUUCCAUAGGAUUGUCAGCAUGAUAUCUAACAGAGGACUGUACGAUCCCUUAUCUAAAGGACAAGAUUGAUUAGAUCAGAGUUUGACAGCGUCUUUGAGAGCUACGAUUGCAAACCGAAUUGUACUUGUGCAUAUAGUUACUAGACUUAUCCAAGUGGGAGACUGUUGGAAUAGUGUCUAAGGCUGCAACUAUAUUAGGCAAGUAUUUGACCCGGUUGUGCAUGGUCCUUUUGGGUUGCCUUCACCAUAGCAACUUGAUAGGAUGAUUUAAUAAGAGAGAGUAAAUAUUAUUAAUAUAUUAUGAGAAUAAUAUAAAGAAUAAUAUAUUGUUAUUUGAUUAAUAUAAGUCAUAGAAUUAAUUGGAAUUAAUUUGGUGACUUAAAGAGGUUAAUUAAAUAAAGGGGUAUAAACUGUCAAUUGUUUGAUAGUUAAGCUUUAGACUAUAAAUCCUUAUAGAUAUACAAGGGACGAAUUCUAGAAGCUAAAGGAUAGCUAAAUUCGUCCAUGACUUAUCUAAGGAAAGGAUUUGGAUAGCCUUAAGAGAAGAUUAUCCAAUUAGGGUUUAGAUUGUAACCCUUAAGGAGUCUACAAGUAUAAAUAGAUCCCAUGG